rnacentral:rRNA from 1 species
UGGGGAAUAUUGCACAAUGGGCGCAAGCCUGAUGCAGCCAUGCCGCGUGUAUGAAGAAGGCCUUCGGGUUGUAAAGUACUUUCAGCGGGGAGGAAGGGAGUAAAGUUAAUACCUUUGCUCAUUGACGUUACCCGCAGAAGAAGCACCGGCUAACUCCGUGCCAGCAGCCGCGGUAAUACGGAGGGUGCAAGCGUUAAUCGGAAUUACUGGGCGUAAAGCGCACGCAGGCGGUUUGUUAAGUCAGAUGAGAAAUCCCCGGGCUCAACCUGGGAACUGCAUCUGAUACUGGCAAGCUUGAGUCUCGUAGAGGGGGGUAGAAUUCCAGGUGUAGCGGUGAAAUGCGUAGAGAUCUGGAGGAAUACCGGUGGCGAAGGCGGCCCCCUGGACGAAGACUGACGCUCAGGUGCGAAAGCGUGGGGAGCAAACAGG